UCCUGGGUUAAUCGUCGAUGUGGUUAUCUCUUGAUGUCCAAACUUACGAUGAUUCCUUGAAUUCAAUGUUUAUGAUAUCCUGAUCUUGAAUAACGGUAUGAUGACCAUAACAAGUUGUAUCUUCGGUGAAAAUUUUAAUGUUUUUCUGUUAUAUAAAGCUCUUUACCUUGACAUACCUGAUUGAAAUAAAGUAAAUAGAAACUAUGAAAUUUUGAAUCUCAGAAAUUAUAAUUCCUCACAGAAAAAAAACUGGAUUGAUACUCAUAAAUUUGAGAAAUAUGAAAAAUUCCUCUCUUCAAUUUAGAUUCUGGAUAUCCCAACUCAUAACUGUUCAAACCAUUAUCGUUUAAAAUAACGAAUGGUCCUUGAAAUGAAAAAAUAAGAAUAUCAUCUAUGUAAUGUAUACAAAAUUGAUCAAAUUUGUCUAGUAUACUAUUCAGAGCUUUAACUAAACUAGAACAAGCUGAUUGGAGUCCAAAUGGUACAACCAAGAAUUGAUAAACUUGUCCAUCUAUCAUGAAUCCGGUAUAUUGUUGUGAUUCUUUAUGAAGAGGGAUCAACCAAAAACUAUGUAAAAGAUCUAAUUUAGUAAAAUAUUUUGCAUGUGUUAUUCUGCCAAAAACAUGAUUUAUAUUUAUGGGAGUUUCAUAUUGGGGUUUCGUAUAUUGAUUUAAAUUUCUAGCGUCUAAACAAAUUCUAAUGUCACCUGAUUUUUUUUUAACAAUUACUAUAGGAUUUAUAUAACUUGUUUUGCUUUUAACUAUAAUUCCCUUUUGUUGAAGCUUUUCUAACUCAUAUUUAACUUGCUCCCUGUAGCAAUAUGGAAUAGGAUAGUUUCUACUUUUAAAAUUUUGUAUAUUAAAAACCUCAAUUUUAUGCACAUAAUUCUUAGCAAUUCUGUUUUCGUUGUUGAAUAAAUUUUGAAAUUUCAAUAUAUUAUUAAAUAAUAAAUUUUUAUGUUCCUCUUUGCAUAUCAUUUGUCUUAUAAUUAUCUUCAGUUUAUCUAUAUAUGUCACUUCUUUAUCACGUUCAAGGUAUCUAUUAUCUUCAUUUUGG